AGAUUUAUCAAGCCGAGAAGAUCCAAAAGGAAGAAAGUGGCCACAUUAGCGAUCAUCCCGUGAUCAACGAGUCUCCUCCACGUCGUCCGCUUCUCCCGUGCCUACCAGCCGUCCGCGCAUCUCCUGUAGGUCCCGUGAUCAAUGCCCAGCUUUCUCCUCCAUUCCAACGAUCGUGCCUCCUCCGUUCCAACGUCCCAGCUCCUCCGGAUCAAGCAACAUCCAGCCGUGAUCAGCU
rnacentral:lncRNA from 1 species